AAUACAUGUACUUUCAUGCGCACCUCUGGUGCGUAGAUCUCUUUCUUCCAGGAUUGACCAAACGAUUUCGGUUUGUCUGUUCGGGCUAAGGUUUUUUUGUAUGUUUAGAACAUGUUUAAGCUUGAUUCUGCACUUAGUUUGACCAGUUUAGUCGACAUAUAAUAUGUAAUUUUGAAGUUUAGAUGCGCAUCGACUAGAAUUUUGGCUGCAUUUCAACCCGGAUUUUGUCGCAUUUGGUAACCUAAAGACACAGACUUGAAAACCAAAGGCAGUUUUUGACAUUUAUCUUCAACCUCCACCUGAGAGCCUGGAUUGGUCUGACUGACUCUGUUACUGAGGGGCCCUGGAAGUGGGUGGACGGCACAUCACUGAUCACAGGGUGACAGAUUUGACCAUUUUACCAGGUACUGGAGGACAGGACAGCCCGAUGAUAGUGGGCAAGAGGACUAUUCAGGUCCUGAAUGGUUAGGUGAUGAUUCCACCUAGUGGUUAAAGUGAGAGAUGAACUCACCAUAGAAGUGAAAUAGUGGUAUGACAGACUGUCUCAAAACACAUUGAAGAACAGAAUCCUAGGGGACUGACCUUGGUCCCUCUCCUCUAAUAGGGUUGAAAGGAGGAGACGAGAUAACGUCUUAGUGUCAGAGAGCCAUAAAGGAGGAAGAAGAAAAUAAAGAGAAAGAUAGAAAAAUAAGACAAUUAAUUGUUGUGUUUAGAUUUAGAGGAGAGUAUGUAGACAUACUGUACUCUAGAAAAUGAAUCUUCUUUAUUUUUAUUAGAAACAUGUCAUGUGAUUUGCCAUAGACUUAUGCUUAGUAAAAGAAAAUUGGGACCAAUUAUUAACCCAUGCUUAUCACUUGAUGAUAUGAAUAACAAGUCACUUUUGAAUCAAAAAAGGAACAGUUGUCUUUAACAAGGUAUACCAGCUUCCUGGUUGAAUGAGAUUGAAUACUGAGAGGGCACACUCACACACAAACAAAAACAAUGCUAAUGAAAGGUGAGAAUGACUCACAACCUUCACUGUACAAGGGACAACAUGUAGGUGACCAAUGGCGACACCAAGCACCAGAGGACCUGUCUGCUACACACUCAUCAUGGUGUCUAAUGGGGUCUCCACCCUCUCCCUCUCUGUUCUGUCUGUGAACCACAGCAAGUGACAGGAUGUGUCACAGCUCUAUCCACCAAUAAUAAACAGACCUGUGUGUCCUUAAUGGCACCCUAUUCUCUAUAUAGUGCACUACAUAGGGAAAUGGGAUGCCAUUUGGCCACCAGUUACUGAGGGAGAGAGACCAGUAACUGAGGGAGAGAGAGCUGUUACUGAGGGAGAGAGAGCUGUUACUGAAGGACAGAGACCAUUUAAAGAGUGAGGGAGACCAGUUAAUAAGGAUCAGAUACCAGUUAAAGAGUGAGAGAGACCAGUUAAAGAGGCAGAGAGACAAGUUACUGAAGGAGAGAGACCAGUUACUGAAAGAGAGAGACCAGUUACUGAAAGAG